UGGGGACUAUUGCACAAUGGGCGCAAGCCUGAUGCAGCCAUGCCGCGUGUAUGAAGAAGGCCUUCGGGUUGUAAAGUACUUUCAGCGAGGAGGAAGGCGGUAAGGUUAAUAACCUUAUCGAUUGACGUUACUCGCAGAAGAAGCACCGGCUAACUCCGUGCCAGCAGCCGCGGUAAUACGGAGGGUGCAAGCGUUAAUCGGAAUUACUGGGCGUAAAGCGCACGCAGGCGGUCUGUCAAGUCGGAUGUGAAAUCCCCGGGCUCAACCUGGGAACUGCAUUCGAAACUGGCAGGCUAGAGUCUUGUAGAGGGGGGUAGAAUUCCAGGUGUAGCGGUGAAAUGCGUAGAGAUCUGGAGGAAUACCGGUGGCGAAGGCGGCCCCCUGGACAAAGACUGACGCUCAGGUGCGAAAGCGUGGGGAGCAAACA
rnacentral:rRNA from 1 species